rnacentral:lncRNA from 1 species
GUUGAAAUGGAGGAAAGUAGAGGGAAAAGGGGGGAGAGGCAGGAGGGAGGACAAUGGCUAGAGUAUUGGUCCUCACAAGAGAAGCAAGUUGGAAGGAAGUGAGGAAGUGGUCUGAAGCUGUGAUUACAGAGGUGAAGGCUGAGGAGAACAAGGUAGAAUCAUCUUGA